rnacentral:tRNA from 1 species
UUUAAAUAGUUUAGGGUAAAACGUCGGGUUGUGGCGCCGAAGAGAUAAGAGAGUUAUUUUAAAUCG